GAAAUGCGGUAAUUAAUGUGAAUUGCAGAAUUCAGUGAAUCAUCGAGUCUUUGAACGCACAUUGCGCCCCCUGGUAUUCCGGGGGGCAUGCCUGUCCGAGCGUCAUUGCUGCCCUCAAGCACGGCUUGUGUGUUGGGCUUCCGUCCCUGGCAACGGGGACGGGCCCAAAAGGCAGUGGCGGCACCAUGUCUGGUCCUCGAGCGUAUGGGGCUUUGUCACCCGCUCCCGUAGGUCCAGCUGGCAGCUAGCCUCGCAACCAAUCUUUUUAACCAGGUUGACCUCGGAUCAGGUAGGGAUACCCGCUGAACUUAAGC
rnacentral:misc_RNA from 1 species